ACGAACGCUGGCGGCGUGCUUCACCCAUGCAAGUCGAGCGGAAAGGCCCUGCUUUUGUGGGGUGCUCGAGUGGCGAACGGGUGAGUAACACGUGAGUAACCUGCCCUUGACUUUGGGAUAACUUCAGGAAACUGGGGCUAAUACCGGAUAGGAGCUCCUGCUGCAUGGUGGGGGUUGGAAAGUUUCGGCGGUUGGGGAUGGACUCGCGGCUUAUCAGCUUGUUGGUGGGGUAGUGGCUUACCAAGGCUUUGACGGGUAGCCGGCCUGAGAGGGUGACCGGCCACAUUGGGACUGAGAUACGGCCCAGACUCCUACGGGAGGCAGCAGUGGGGAAUAUUGCACAAUGGGCGGAAGCCUGAUGCAGCAACGCCGCGUGCGGGAUGACGGCCUUCGGGUUGUAAACCGCUUUCGCCUGUGACGAAGCGUGAGUGACGGUAAUGGGUAAAGAAGCACCGGCUAACUACGUG
rnacentral:rRNA from 1 species